rnacentral:lncRNA from 1 species
GGAAAAUCAGUGAUGCUAGGUUAACAAAUUUCGAAUUAUAAAUAUGGUUGUCUGAUCAUAUGGCAAAAUCGUCUUUUAUGGUGUUAUUUAAUCUAUAAUUCUGUAGAGGGUGGAUAUAAAAUUGACAUAUUUGUAGUAUUUCCCAACACAUUAUCUAUAUAUUUAUCACAAUAAUACUAAUUUCUGACAGGUUAUGUAAGGAAAAUGGUAGCUAUACUUAACCUACGGACAUGUGUAGCGGGCAGUUGUAAUUAUUACAUGUACCAUGUUGUUUUAUGCAGAUAUGAUAAUUGACGUGUGUGAGAAACUCGUAAGUGAUCAGCUGUGAUUAAUGAACCGUAACUAAGUGAAAUGUGCAUGCGCAGGAAAUCAUUAAUCAAGGUGACGAACAUGUGAACUCCCUGACGAACAUUAUUGACAGUUAUGGAUGACCUGAAAAUAACAGAAGGCAGCAAAAUAACAAAAUGUGGUUAAAUGCUG